CGGGACGGGUGAGUAAUGUCUGGGAAACUGCCUGAUGGAGGGGGAUAACUACUGGAAACGGUAGCUAAUACCGCAUAACGUCGCAAGACCAAAGAGGGGGACCUUAGGGCCUCUUGCCAUCGGAUGUGCCCAGAUGGGAUUAGCUAGUAGGUGGGGUAACGGCUCACCUAGGCGACGAUCCCUAGCUGGUCUGAGAGAAUGACCAGCCACACUGGAACUGAGACACGGUCCAG
rnacentral:rRNA from 1 species